AUUGAACGCUGGCGGCAUGCCUUACACAUGCAAGUCGAACGGCAGCACGGGUGCUUGCACCUGGUGGCGAGUGGCGAACGGGUGAGUAAUACAUCGGAAUCUACCUUUUCGUGGGGGAUAACGUAGGGAAACUUACGCUAAUACCGCAUACGACCUACGGGUGAAAGUGGGGGACCGCAAGGCCUCACGCUAUUAGAUGAGCCGAUGUCCGAUUAGCUAGUUGGCGGGGUAAUGGCCCACCAAGGCGACGAUCGGUAGCUGGUCUGAGAGGAUGAUCAGCCAAACUGGAACGGAGAAACGGUCCGAAAUCCUACGGGAGGCAGCAGUGGGGAAUAUUGGACAAUGGGCGAAAGCCUGAUCCAGCCAUACCGCGUGGGUGAAGAAGGCCUUCGGGUUGUAAAGCCCUUUUGUUGGGAAAGAAAUCCAGCUGGCUAAUACCCGGUUGGGAUGACGGUACCCAAAGAAUAAGCACCGGCUAACUUCGUGCCAGCAGCCGCGGUAA
rnacentral:rRNA from 1 species